AGGGGAUUUGUCGACAAAUUCCACCAUCCGGCUGCGGACAAAAAUUGGAGCUGUUCCAGUGCCAAACACACUAUACGACUGCGUGGAAGUGGCAUAAACUGUGAUUACUGCAGCUGUGAUCAGGGGAAAUUUCAUUGUGUUGAAUAAAAAACUCCAUGGUGGUACCGGGGAUGGCAUCGGUAGAGUAUUCCAAAACGACAAACAAUUGAUACGCAUUCUCGCACUCAAAGAAGUGCAGAAAAAUUUCCCGUAUUGGAUGCCUUCCUGUGAAUUAUGCGUCGUAUAAACUGAUAAAACGAAGGCUUCCACAGUUAUGAAUGGAACGGAUUCGACAUUUGGUGGAAAAAAAUGACUGCCUAACGAACCGUCAUCGCUGGAACUUGACUGUCAGAAUAAAGUACGGGAUGGAGCACGAUCUGGUCAAGACAAUUUAUUAAUAAAUUAUCAACGCAAGGUGCCCCUGCUCCGGAUGCAUCCAGAGAAACAGCAGGAUCAAGGGAGUUCUCACAGAAGUGAGCCAAACUGAAAAUGAGCGAUAAGGACACAGCUCUACUUUUGUAAACAAAGUAGCACCACCCUGAAGUAUGCCGUUUCCAGUUCACUGGUACUAUGGUAGUUUCUUCGAAAGCCGUAAAAUGUUUAAUUGUGAGACGAUUCACUGCAUGUUCUAUGAUCAGUGCGGUUGAUGAUAAAAUGAAACUACCGCUGCUAGGAGCAUGCUUUACGGCACUAUAAUUUCACAAGUUGCUGGAUCGACGAAAUAUAUUCCGAAUCGCUGAUUAGUUGAAUGUGAAGCAACAGAAAAAAAUCAACGGAGACUGUAGUUUCGAAUUUACGAUAGGUUUUCCGGUUUCAAGAUUUCGAAUGGCAAUGUUCCAGAUGUGGCUACAAAGCGUUUUUUAUGUGCAUCCUUUAAGGAAACUCAAAAAAGCGAACAAAUUGAUUAGACACGAUUCGUGUUUCGAAUUUCGACAAAAAUAGGUCUCUGAUGUUGCCACCAAAACAAAACUACCAAAAUCGAUGCUUUGCCCCAUCUUUUGGCAUAACUCAAAACCUUUGCGAGCCAUCAGCAAUCAACUUCAAUCUCGUUUCUAAUCUACUGUUUACGGAAGGCGCCACUACGCUAAUGUAGUCUUCGAAAAGGAACAUGUGGACCAAUUCGAGAUGCAUCUAAGAAGCUGCAGAACCGUAGAAUAUUAAAGGAUUCAUGAAAAGGUAAAGUAUCCUGGACAUGACAACAAUGACAAGACAACAAAAUGUUGAUUGAUGCAGGAAACGGAAAGUGAUAAUAAAACUGAAAAUUGAAGAAAAAAAAUUGAUAAUCAUGGAUAUCUAUAAGGUUCAAGCUAGGUCAGCAAAAAGUUUGUGUCUAUUUAGACGUAGGUAUCGGCUGUGGUAUCAGUACGGUUUAGGGAAGUAAAAUGAACGAAAA